rnacentral:rRNA from 1 species
GACGAACGCUGGCGGCGUGCCUAAUACAUGCAAGUAGAACGCUGAAGAGAGGAGCUUGCUCUUCUUGGAUGAGUUGCGAACGGGUGAGUAACGCGUAGGUAACCUGCCUGGUAGCGGGGGAUAACUAUUGGAAACGAUAGCUAAUACCGCAUAAAAUGGAUUAUCGCAUGAUAAUCCAUUGAAAGGUGCAAAUGCAUCACUACCAGAUGGACCUGCGUUGUAUUAGCUAGUUGGUGGGGCAACGGCUCACCAAGGCGACGAUACAUAGCCGACCUGAGAGGGUGAUCGGCCACACUGGGACUGAGACACGGCCCAGACUCCUACGGGAGGCAGCAGUAGGGAAUCUUCGGCAAUGGACGGAAGUCUGACCGAGCAACGCCGCGUGAGUGAAGAAGGUUUUCGGAUCGUAAAGCUCUGUUGUAAGAGAAGAACGAGUGUGAGAGUGGAAAGUUCACACUGUGUCGGUAUCUUACCA